AUACGUAGGUGGCGAGCGUUGUCCGGAAUUACUGGGCGUAAAGGGCGCGUAGGCGGCCUGAUAAGUCAGAUGUGAAACCCCCAGGCUCAACUUGGGGCAUGCAUUUGAAACUGUCGGGCUCGAGUGUCGGAGAGGGAAGCGGAAUUCCUAGUGUAGCGGUGAAAUGCGUAGAUAUUAGGAGGAACACCAGUGGCGAAGGCGGCUUUCUGGACGAUAACUGACGCUGAGGCGCGAAAGCGUGGGGAGCAAACAGGAUUAGAUACCCUGGUAGUCCACGCUGUAAACGAUGGAUACUAGGUGUGGGAGGUAUCGACCCCUUCCGUGCCGCAGUAAACGCAAUAAGUAUCCCGCCUGGGGAGUACGGCCGCAAGGUUGAA
rnacentral:rRNA from 1 species